CGCAGUAACGGUCGCAGCCCUGCUCCACUCCCUGCGGCGGACCCUGCGCGACCCCAUUACUCUCUGACAGGUUGUAUCAACAGCCAUGAUUCUGCUCCGCUCCCUGCGGCAGGUGCUGCGUGACUCCACUACUCCCUGGCAACUAGCGGCAACGGACGCCGCUCCACUACCUGCAACAGGCUCCACGUGGCAGGCCAUAGCAAUAGCCACGGGUCUACUCCACUACUCUUCGCAGCAAAUUCUGCCUGACUCUGGGCAGCCGUCUGCCAGACGGUUACAGGCGUCGCUAUCAAUCUGCUGCCCCCUCCGUCUAUAAAA
rnacentral:lncRNA from 1 species